GAUUCACAAUAGCCCUCACCUACAGCCGUUGUAAGGGACGCGUAGGAUGGUGAGUCACCGGUGCCUAGUGAUUCGUAGCAAGAAGAGAUGUGCAUAUUGUGAGCAGCAUGAAAAUUAUCGUAUUUCUACUCAAAAACUAUCCUCCAGUAGAAGCAGUGUCUGUAGUAUCAACGAGAGUGUGUUGACCGGAGUGCGUAGUAUUCACUACAACUUGCGCAGUAACAUGUACCGAAGUGUCUGAUGAUCCGUUUGACGAAUCUGCAGCUGUUUCAAAUGGUAUGACCAACCUGGAUAGGUUGCACUUGGAGGUUGUUAGGACUAGAAGGAUCUGGACUUGUGACUACAGUGAUGAGUUGCUGACCCCUAGUAGAUUGAGUCUGAGCUGCGCUCCCACUGCCACUGGAGCUUGAGGUGGUUACGACGACUACACCAGACUUAGAAUCUACUCCCACCCCGCUCGUACCGUCCCUGCCACCACCAGCCCCAGCGGACGUAGCAAGAGCAUACUGGGCUCCCGUAGUCAUGGUGAUUACACCCUCAACUCUCUCCGCAGCCACCGAAUCACCACCUCCGGCUCCUCGCUUCUGAAGAGAUGUAUCUGUGACACAAACAUACACAUACAUUGUAAGCGCUAUUUAACUGAAUAUCAAUAACGUCUUCAGCGGUAUUUAGGAGUGACAGGAACAAUAUUCAAAGAAACAGUGUCAAGAAUUUCACAUCUGAAAUAAAAUGUUCAAAUAUUGGUGUGUUACUGGCUGAAAUUACGUAGAAUAAAUGAAUGAAAUAAA